rnacentral:tRNA from 1 species
GGGCGUGUAGUUUAACGGCAAAACAAGACUCUUAUAAAGUCUAGUCGAAAGUUCGACUCUUUCCACGCCCACCA